GCGGAAGUAGUUCAGUGGUAGAACACCACCUUGCCAAGGUGGGGGUCGCGAGUUCAAAUCUCGUCUUCCGCU
rnacentral:tRNA from 1 species